GGCGCAAAAGCAAAUUCCCAGUUAGCGUAGUACUGUUCAUCUAUUUAUAGGCACGGGUCGUAGCCCAUGUAAAAUUACAUCCAGGCCCCUUGCAUUUGAUAAUAACUCUAUAGUAAUUAAUCGGGGUCUAGAUAGCCUUUUCCUCUUUAAGUCGGUUUCCUUUUCCUGUCAUCAUGCCGAAGCUCCCUUGCGCACAGCUUCGGCUCUGUUCCAUCCUUCGUUCCCCUUGUGUUUCUUCAUACAGUGAUUUUGACUCAAGUUCGAAAGGUCCAUGUCCGAAGGUACCUGCUGAUGUAUUAUACUCCAGAAACAUUGUUAAAUCACGUUUUUGAGGACCUUCGUAAGCCGAAGGCCCCCAACAGCCAACAGGGAUCUUCUCCCCAAGUUAUCCUAACCUCCCUAGACUACAUAAUUCUUAUUCUAUUGUUGUUCUAGCAGACUUAAGUUUGGAGAAUCGAUAGACCGACUCUGAUAACAACAAUAUGAUCUUUUUGACCUUUGGAACUAAUCGAUUCCCUCCCUUAACCUAGCUAGGUCCUUUCUGUAGCUCAAUAGACUGAAGACUUGUGCACUAGUGAGCUAGAGGAAGAGAAACAAAGUAUGGGAUCAUACCUUCAGGAUUUAGGUGGAUGGUAGUCGUAUUGGCAGAAGAGAUAGGGGAUGGGCCUAGGAGUUGAGCCCCUCCAUCUUGAUCUUGCCCCUCCUCCUUGUAUGUUUGUUGGAUCAUGGGGUGGAGCCUCAUUGGUCAGCGAUGUCCGUUAAGAUCUAUCGGUGUUAUGGGUUUGAUUGGGAGAUUUCUAUUUACUAAGGCGCUAAAUAGGAGUUUGAGUCCUUUGUAUUUUGUGGUUGCUAGGGUUU
rnacentral:lncRNA from 1 species